GACGAACGCUGGCGGCGUGCUUAACACAUGCAAGUCGAGCGGUAAGGCCCUUUCGGGGUACACGAGCGGCGAACGGUGAGUAACACGUGGGUGACCUGCCCUCAGCUCUGGGAUAAGCCGUGGGAAACCGGGGUCUAAUACUGGAUAUGACUCCAUGACGCAUGGUUGUGGGGUGGAAAGCCUUGUGCGGCUGAGGAUGGGCCCGCGGCCUAUCAGCUUGUUGGUGGGGUGANGG
rnacentral:rRNA from 1 species